rnacentral:precursor_RNA from 15 species
AAAGAAAAAAAAAGUUGUUCAUAAUUUCUUAGAACCGGCAUCGUGUAUCUUGUCUUAUUCUCGCACAAGUACACGGUUCCGACUCUAUGUAUUUUGAAACAAUUCUUCUGAAUUAAGU